rnacentral:rRNA from 1 species
CCCUUAGAUGUUCUGGGCCGCACGCGCGCUACACUGAUGCAUUCAACGAGUCUAAAACCUGCUCUGAUAGGGGUGGGUAAUCUUUUGAAUGUGCAUCGUGAUUGGGAUAGAUGAUUGCAAUUUUUCAUCUUCAACGAGGCAUGCCUAGUAAACGCAAGUCAUCAGCUUGCAUUGAUUACGUCCCUGCCCUUUGUACACACCGCCCGUCGCUCCUACCGAUUGAAUGAUCCGAUGAAUAUCAUGGAUUGAGGAUGCAAGCAGGUUCGCCUGUCUUCAUCUUCGAGAAGUGAAGUAAAUCUUAUCAUUUAGAGGAAGGAGAAGUCGUAACA